GACGAACGCUGGCGGCGUGCCUAAUACAUGCAAGUAGAACGCUGAAGGAGGAGCUUGCUUCUCCGGAUGAGUUGCGAACGGGUGAGUAACGCGUAGGUAACCUGCCUGGUAGCGGGGGAUAACUGUUGGAAACGAUAGCUAAUACCGCAUAAGAGUAGAUGUUGCAUGACAUUUGCUUAAAAGGUGCAAUUGCAUCACUACCAGAUGGACCUGCGUUGUAUUAGCUAGUUGGUGGGGUAACGGCUCACCAAGGCGACGACACAUAGCCGACCUGAGAGGGUGAUCGGCCACACUGGGACUGAGACACGGCCCAGACUCCUACGGGAGGCAGCAGUAGGGAAUCUUCGGCAAUGGACGGAAGUCUGACCGAGCAACGCCGCGUGAGUGAAGAAGGUUUUCGGAUCGUAAAGCUCUGUUGUAAGAGAAGAACGAGUGUGAGAGUGGAAAGUUCACACUGUGACGGUAUCUUACCAGAAAGGGACGGCUAACUACGUGCCAGCAGCCGCGGUAAUACGUAGGUCCCGAGCGUUGUCCGGAUUUAUUGGGCGUAAAGCGAGCGCAGGCGGUUAGAUAAGUCUGAAGUUAAAGGCUGUGGCUUAACCAUAGUACGCUUUGGAAACUGUUUAACUUGAGUGCAAGAGGGGAGAGUGGAAUUCCAUGUGUAGCGGUGAGAUGCGUAGAUAUAUGGAGGAACACCGGUGGCGAAAGCGGCUCUCUGGCUUGUAACUGACGCUGAGGCUCGAAAGCGUGGGGAGCAAACAGG
rnacentral:rRNA from 1 species